GACGAACGCUGGCGGCGUGCUUAACACAUGCAAGUCGAACGGAAAGGCCCUGCUUGCAGGGUACUCGAGUGGCGAACGGGUGAGUAACACGUGGGUGAUCUGCCCUGCACUUCGGGAUAAGCCUGGGAAACUGGGUCUAAUACCGGAUAGGAGCCAUUUUUAGUGUGAUGGUUGGAAAGUUUUUUCGGUGUAGGAUGAGCUCGCGGCCUAUCAGCUUGUUGGUGGGGUAAUGGCCUACCAAGGCGGCGACGGGUAGCCGGCCUGAGAGGGUGGACGGCCACAUUGGGACUGGGGUACGGCCCAGACUCCUACGGGAGGCAGCAGUGGGGAAUAUUGCACAAUGGGCGCAAGCCUGAUGCAGCGACGCCGCGGGGGGGAUGACGGCCUUCGGGUUGUAAACUCCUUUCGCUAGGGACGAAGCUUUUUGUGACGGUACCUAGAUAAGAAGCACCGGCUAACUACGUG
rnacentral:rRNA from 1 species